rnacentral:rRNA from 4 species
AAGACUACCCGUUGAUAGGUGUUCGGUGGAAAUGCAGUAAUGUAUGCAGCCUAGACACACUAACAGACCGAGGACUUGACCUC